AGAUUAAGUUAUUAAGGGCGCACGGUGGAUGCCUUGGCACUAGAAGCCGAUGAAGGACGUUACUAACGACGAUAUGCUUUGGGUAGCUGUAAGUAAGCGUUGAUCCAGAGAUUUCCGAAUGGGGGAACCCAGCAUGAGUUAUGUCAUGUUAUCGACAUGUGAAUUCAUAGC
rnacentral:rRNA from 1 species